ACUCCUACGGGAGGCAGCAGUGGGGAAUAUUGCACAAUGGGGGAAACCCUGAUGCAGCGACGCCGCGUGGAGGAAGAAGGUCUUCGGAUUGUAAACUCCUGUUGUUGAGGAAGAUAAUGACGGUACUCAACAAGGAAGUGACGGCUAACUACGUGCCAGCAGCCGCGGUAAAACGUAGGUCACAAGCGUUGUCCGGAAUUACUGGGUGUAAAGGGAGCGCAGGCGGGAAGACAAGUUGGAAGUGAAAUCUAUGGGCUCAACCCAUAAACUGCUUUCAAAACUGUUUUUCUUGAGUAGUGCAGAGGUAGGCGGAAUUCCCGGUGUAGCGGUGGAAUGCGUAGAUAUCGGGAGGAACACCAGUGGCGAAGGCGGCCUACUGGGCACCAACUGACGCUGAGGCUCGAAAGUGUGGGUAGCAAACAGGAUUAGAUACCCUGGUAGUCCACACUGUAAACGAUGAUUACUAGGUGUUGGAGGAUUGACCCCUUCAGUGCCGCAGUUAACACAAUAAGUAAUCCACCUGGGGAGUACGACCGCAAGGUUGAAACUCAAAGGAAUUGACGGGGGCCCGCACAAGCAGUGGAGUAUGUGGUUUAAUUCGACGCAACGCGAAGAACCUUACCAAGUCUUGACAUCCUGCGACGGUGCUGGAAACAGUGCUUUCCUUCGGGACGCAGAGACAGGUGGUGCAUGGUUGUCGUCAGCUCGUGUCGUGAGAUGUUGGGUUAAGUCCCGCAACGAGCGCAACCCUUACUGUCAGUUACUACGCAAGAGGACUCUGGCAGGACUGCCGUUGACAAAACGGAGGAAGGUGGGGAUGACGUCAAAUCAUCAUGCCCU
rnacentral:rRNA from 1 species